UCAACUGUAGCUCAGAUAGAGCAUCGGCUUUGCAUGCAGAAGAUCCCUGGUUCAAUUUCCAGGUGGGGCUGAG